AUUGAACGCUGGCGGCAGGCCUAACACAUGCAAGUCGAACGAGUGGCGGACGGGUGAGUAAUGUCUGGGAAACUGCCCGAUGGAGGGGGAUCACUACUGGAAACGGUCGCUAAUACCGCAUACCAUCGGAUGUGCCCAGAUUGGAUUAGCUAGUAGGUGGGGUAACGGCUCACCAAGGCGACGAUCCCAAGCUGGUCUGAGAGGAUGACCAGCCACUCUGGAACUGAGAAACGGUCCAGACUCCUACGGUGGGCAGCCGUUGGGAAUAUUGGACAAUGGGCGCAAGCCUGAUGCAGCCAUGCCGCGUGUAUGAAGAAGGCCUUCGGGUUUUAAAGUCCUUUAAGCGGGGAGGCGUUACCCGCAGAAGAAGCACCGGCUAACUCCGUGCCAGCAGCCGCGGUAAUAC
rnacentral:rRNA from 1 species